AACAUCGCGCACCUGCGGGAACCUGCGGAAGGAUCAUUACAGAGUUCGUGCCCUCGCGGGUAGAUCUCCCACCCUUGUGUAUUUUCUACAUCUUGUUGCUUUGGCAGGCCGUUGGUUCGCCAACCACCGGCUCGCGGGCUGGUGCGUGCCUGCCAGAGGACCUCUCAAACUCGGUUUGUUAGUGUCGUCUGAGUACCAUAACAAUCGUUAAAACUUUUAACAAUGGAUCUCAGAUCGGAA
rnacentral:misc_RNA from 1 species